GCCGGGCAUGGUGAUGCACACCUGUAAUCCCAGCUACCCAGGAGGCUGAGGCAGAAGAAUCGCUUGAGCCCAGGAGGCGGAGGUUGCAGUGAACUGAGAUUGUGCCACUACACUCCAGCCUGGGCAACAAAGUGAGACUCUGUCUCAA
ensembl:misc_RNA Metazoa_SRP Metazoan signal recognition particle RNA